GAGUUUGAUCGUGGCUCAGAUUGAACGCUGGCGGCAGGCCUAACACAUGCAAGUCGAGCGGUAGAGAGAAGCUUGCUUCUCUUGAGAGCGGCGGACGGGUGAGUAAUGCCUAGGAAUCUGCCUGGUAGUGGGGGAUAACGCUCGGAAACGGACGCUGAUACCGCAUACGUCCUACGGGAGAAGGCAGGGGACCUUCGGGCCUUGCGCUAUCAGAUGAGCCUAGGUCGGAUUAGCUAGUUGGUGAGGUAAUGGCUCACCAAGGCGACGAUCCGUAACUGGUCUGAGAGGAUGAUCAGUCACACUGGAACUGAGACACGGUCCAGACUCCUACGGGAGGCAGCAGUGGGGAAUAUUGGACAAUGGGCGAAAGCCUGAUCCAGCCAUGCCGCGUGUGUGAAGAAGGUCUUCGGAUUGUAAAGCACUUUAAGUUAGGGAGGAAGGGCAGUAAAUUAAUACUUUAGCUGUUUGACGUUACCGACAGAAUAAG
rnacentral:rRNA from 1 species